rnacentral:rRNA from 1 species
GCAUAUCAAUAAGCGGAGGAAAAGAAACCAACAGGGAUUGCCCCAGUAACGGCGAGUGAAGCGGCAACAGCUCAAAUUUGAAAUCUGGCCCCCCCGGGGUCCGAGUUGUAAUUUGUAGAGGAUGCUUUUGGUGAGGUGCCGCCCGAGUUCCCUGGAACGGGACGCCACAGAGGGUGAGAGCCCCGUCUGGCUGGCCGCCGAGCCUCUGUAAAGCUCCUUCGACGAGUCGAGUAGUUUGGGAAUGCUGCUCAAAAUGGGAGGUAUAUGUCUUCUAAAGCUAAAUACUGGCCAGAGACCGAUAGCGCACAAGUAGAGUGAUCGAAAGAUGAAAAGCACCUUGAAAAGAGGGUUAAAUAGUACGUGAAAUUGUUGAAAGGGAAGCGCUUGUGACCAGACUUGGGCGCGGCGGAUCAUCCGGGGUUCUCCCCGGUGCACUUCGCCUCGCCCAGGCCAGCAUCAGCUCGCCGCGGGGGAAAAAGGCCUCGGGAACGUGGCUCCUCCGGGAGUGUUAUAGCCCGUUGCACAAUACCCUGCGGUGGGCUGAGGACCGCGCAUCUGCAAGGAUGCUGGCGUAAUGGUCACCAGCGACCCGUCUUGAAACACGGACCAAGGAGUCGUCUUCGUAUGCGAGUGUUCGGGUGUCAAACCCCUACGCGUAAUGAAAGUGAACGCAGGUGAGAGCUUCGGCGCAUCAUCGACCGAUCCUGAUGUUCUCGGAUGGAUUUGAGUAAGAGCAUACGGGGCCGGACCCGAAAGAAGGUGAACUAUGCCUGUAUAGGGUGAAGCCAGAGGAAACUCUGGUGGAGGCUCGCAGCGGUUCUGACGUGCAAAUCGAUCGUCAAAUAUGGGCAUGGGGGGCGAAAGACUAAUCGAACCUUCUAGUAGCUGGUUUCCGCGA